AGGAUCAGGAGGAACCCAGGGCCGGGGACCCAGGGCUUCUUCAGGGAAACAGAGGCUGCCAUCUUCUGGGGGUGAUGGCCUUCUGCCUGGUAGUCUCCAGGCCAGUGUUUACGGGGUCUCUUGAGCGCAUCUCUCAGUGGAUGGUGGCCCCCAUCACAGUGCCUCUUGAGUUCACAGCUCUUACGUUUCUACCCUCACGCCAGUCCCAGAGUCUCUUGUCUGCAGAGGGCCUGGCUUUCCUUCAUAUUCGUUCAUACUCUGGCUCCAGUCGGCCCUGGGUCCCAGAGGCUCAGCACCAGGGACCAAGCCCUGGCGGAUUCUUCUCCCCCCGUCUUGGGGUUUUCUCUGUGACUGGAUCCUGUAUAUGCAGCCCCUUCCUGAUUUCUCUCCUCGGGUUCAGGUGGCAGCAACGCAGGGCACAGGGACAGCAGCAUUCUGGAGGGUCACUGGGUACAACCUUUGUUUGUGCAAGUUAAUGAUUCACUGAAUUGCCCCCAGGAGGCCCAGAGGAGGCAGGGCUCUGCCAUUCCCGGGACAUGGAGGAAAAGAAACAGCCUCUCCUGCUGCAAAAUCACUUUGCCCUUGUCUUCUUGUGGCCCCGCGUCAGCGUGACGGGGCCGUCGCUGUCAUCAGCCCUCACUAGCUCCCAAGGUGCCUUCCUUGACACAACGUUGCUACUGGAUCGGACACUCCAGGGCGACGGGAGGAAGCUCCACACACAAGCCCCGAUCGCCGAGAUCCACAGAGGAAGCCAAGAGGAAUUCACAUUUGGCUCUCAGGGGUAUAUCACCUUCCCUCAGCACCUCCCUCAAAGGCCCCUGGGUGAUACGCCCACCUCAAAACUAUCUCACUCCUCGAGCCUGAGAUCUGGGAGACACUGGGAAAAGUGGGUGAGGUCAACAAGCUGGAUGGCCCUUAGAAGCUUCCAUUCCUCAGGACUGAGAGAUCCAGAAACUCCAUUCCUGAGCUCGGGCUGGGACCCACUCACGCUUCCAGUUCAGGGUCCCUGCAUCUAAGGGGCCACUUGAUGUACUGAGGCCCCAGGGACCGACCGUCAGGCAUCGAGCUCCCAAACCAGCCAUGUUCAGAUAGAAUCCAAAGCCCUGUGCAGAGAAGCCCGGUCAGGUCUGGCAGGGCCCUCGCUCAGAAGCCCCCAACCCAGCGAGCCGCCCAUCAGCCCGCUCACGGAACUCGGCUCACCGGCCACUGAAGAAAUCCCUACCUGACCCGCCGAUCAGCCCGAAACUUCAACAUCCUUUUGGCAGCUCUCUCCCCUGUUCGGCAGCCUCAGAGGACCUGCCAGCCACCCUGCUCCUACCAUCCCUCUGAGAAGUAAGUCCUCCGGGUCCCGGUGGCCAGCUCGGAGCGCGAGGCAGGCGCGGCUGGCUCCCCCUCCUCCCGGCUCCGGCACCAGGCGAGGGGGAGGGGCUCUCCCCGGGUGGUGGCAGGGGGUGCCCAGGUGCCCUGGGGGGCCCGUGGCUUCCUAGCAUCCAGCCCGAAUGCUGCCGUCUGAGUGCUAGAGGCAGAUUAAAUGAGCAGGGAUGAUAUCCUCCCGGUCCAGGUCCCCGAGGAGAAAACGCUGAAACAGAGGCGGGCGGGAGCCGAGCAGGUGUACAAGUUCCAGGUAGUCCGACCUCCCUGAGCUAAGGACACAGAGUGGCCGGGCGGGCGGAGCCGUCUGGGGCCGCGCUCCCAUCUGCGCGGCCUGCAGGAAGACGGUCUUUCCUGCCUCCCGACCCCCAGCCCCGAACGCAGGCCCUUGGGCUGAAAUCCACGUGCUCCGCAGAGACCCUUCUGAUCCCGCGGGCACGAGGGUUAAAAGAAGCUCCAGGCUCGGCUGCUGCCACUGCCUAGAAGCUGAGAUUAAGUUUCCCAGACUUCGGCGCAGACAGGGCACAGCGAGGGGGGCUUCUGCGCAGCAACCCCCCCCCCCCAAACGUGCUCUCUUAGGACCUAGCCCCUCCUGGCUUGCCCUCCGCUUGGGGUCCAGCUGAGGGGCACGGGGAGCCAGAGCUGGUGGCAAGCACCUGGCUUCUUUGCUCUGGUGAACUGGAAGGAAAGCUUCCUCCCAAAGCUUGUGAGGAAGAGGGCAGCAAACAGGGCUCAGAGGGGGUCACCGUGUGUUUACUUCUGAAAAUCUUCCCAGAUGCCAUAUGAUAAAUCCCAGCUGGCGACCGUCGCAUCUGCUCAGGGGCAAAGGAGGUUUGCAUCGCCUUGAAGUUCCCUGAACUCUCCGGGGGCUGAAGACGAUCAGAUCUCCCCUUUCCCUCAUGCCCUCGGUGUCUGAGGGUCCUGGGACUGCAAGGGCCUUCUGAAGGUCAUCUCUUCCAACCCCCUGCCUCCAGGCAAGCUCACUCUGCAAUCAAUCUCAUUAAGUGCCCUGGCUGUUCACAAAGGGCUCCAGCAAGGGAGGCUCCAGACCCGCUGUCAGCUUAUGCUGCCAACUUGUUCUUUCUUGAUAUCAAAUUUCAGUUCCUCUGGCUUUCCAUAUUAUUCCAUUUCUGCCUUCGGAUGACAGAAUCCCUUCUGAGCAGCGUGGUCCUUUAUCGCAGCACCAGGCAGUCCAUUGACAUCAUAGUCUGUUGUUACGGCAAUUCUGUGAUGUCACAACAGACCCUGAAAGGGGAGGGCGGGUCUAAUUUUUCAGAUCGAGGUCACAACUCAGAGAACCGUGCAACCAGUGAAUGCAAAAGCGAGCAGACAACAUUAUUAUUUAACUGCGACAAGACAAGCCGGCUGGCUAGAGCUGGGGUCAACAGCUACCGAUAUUGAGGCAACUAAUCCUAAAGCCAAACGGUCAAUAUAUUCAACCAUUUAGCGGUACUUUUGCAAAUGGUGACAAGAGCCUUCGGGUGCCAGAUCCCACCUCUCUCUGGCCCAGCCUAAUUAUUUGAGCCCUGCUAUGGUUGCGGGAAUCUGGGCCCUCCUCUGGUGCCAGCUUGAGGUCUCUGCCUGUGCACAGUAGGCGCCUAAUAAAUAUUUGUUGAACCAACAAGUGAAUGAAUGAACGAACAAAAGAAACCCUCCGUGCUCCAACUUAAUUUUUAGCCACCUGCAUUUGAAGUUUGACAUUCUAUUACCAAGGGCCUCCCUACCUUUGCUCUCUCUUAAAAUUAAUUACUUCCUCUCCAUGAGAGAAGCUCUGUCUCUGCCCCCUCGCCCCUUCACUCAGCUCCCCUGCCUGGCUCCCCCUCGAAUAUAUAGCUUGGCUUUGAUCCGUCUUCAUUAGGAGGGGAAGAAAAUUAAGCUCAUCUGUACAGGAGGAGGGAGUGGAGGUGCAUUGGGAAAAUGAGUUUUCUUCCUCUAGAAGGCAAAAAAUAUCCCCUUUCUCUUCAAGCUGAGCUCAGGAACCUCCCACAGGCUUUGCUUAAGUUGUAAGCUAAAUUACUUCUCCCAUGCCCAGUGAAGCUAGCACAAGGGAGUAGGAAUGUAGGCUCAGGGGCUUUCCCUGCUUGUCGAGGGCUCUGAAAUCCUCAGGGUUCAGGCACACAGAAUGCCUAGCUGGGGUUCUUUUCCUUCACCACUAAACUGCACAGAAUGACAGGUUGUCAUUUUAGGGUAGACAUCAAGAAGAACUUACCAGGUGCAGGAUAUUUUAAAAGGGAAACAAGAAUAGGGGAUUCAUUUUUUCUCUCUUCUUUCCUCUUUUUUUUUUUUUUUUUUUUUUGGUGGGGGGGAUGUCAAAGGCCUCCAUUUCUCAGGAACAAAUAGUUAUGAGCACAUCUCCAAAUGGACCUCCUGAUUCCCCCCCCCCCCUAAAAAGGGGGAGAAUCUCAAGCAGUCAAGCAGAUUUUGUGAUGGAGGCAGGAACAUCCCUAAACUCCUGGAUCUCCCACUGGGUGGCCACCUUAUCCACUGUGCCUACAAACGUGGCCCCAAUGGCAGUGCCACCAGUGAAAAGAGAAUUGGGCAACACCAGGCUUACAGUCCAAGAUCCAGCGGGAAUUAGCAAUGUGACCUGACUUCUCUGGUUAUUCGUUUCCUCGUGUGCAAAUGAGGUACCUUCUAAUUCUAUGAAAUAAUAGCUGGAACUUGCAAACUG